UUUCCGAUGCUCGCUGCGCCCCUCGCCGCCGCCCUCCUCUUGCCGCCGCUUGCCCCUUGGAGCCGCCGCCUAAGUCGGGGAGGAGAGAAUGACCGAGGUGCUGUGGCCGGCGGUCCCCAAUGGGACGGACGCUGCCUUCCUGGCCGGCCCGGGCUCGCCCUGGGGGAACAGCACAGUGGCCUCCACCGCCGCCGGCGCCUCUCCGUUCAGAUGCGCGCUGACCAAGACAGGCUUCCAGUUCUACUACCUGCCAGCUGUCUACAUCUUGGUGUUCAUCGUCGGCUUCCUGGGCAACAGCGUGGCCAUCUGGAUGUUCGUCUUCCACAUGAAGCCGUGGAGCGGCAUCUCGGUGUACAUGUUCAACUUGGCCUUGGCGGACUUCUUGUACGUGCUGACUCUGCCGGCGCUUAUCUUCUACUACUUCAGUAAGACCGACUGGAUCUUCGGGGAUGCCAUGUGCAAGCUGCAGCGGUUCAUCUUCCACGUGAACCUCUACGGCAGCAUCCUGUUCCUGACCUGCAUCAGCGCGCACCGGUACAGCGGUGUGGUGUACCCGCUCAAGUCCCUGGGCAGGCUGAAGAAGAAGAACGCGGUCUGUGUCAGCGCGCUGGUAUGGCUCAUCGUGGUGGUGGGCAUCUCCCCCAUCCUCUUCUAUUCCGGCACCGGGAUCCGGAAAAACAAGACCGUCACCUGCUAUGACACCACCUCAGACGAGUACCUGCGAAGUUAUUUCAUCUACAGCAUGUGCACGACCGUGGCCAUGUUCUGUGUCCCUCUGGUGCUGAUUUUGGGCUGUUACGGAUUAAUUGUGAGAGCUUUGAUCUACAAAGACCUGGACAAUUCGCCUCUGAGGAGGAAAUCCAUUUACCUGGUGAUUAUUGUACUGACCGUCUUUGCUGUGUCUUACAUCCCUUUCCACGUGAUGAAAACAAUGAAUUUGAGGGCCCGGCUGGAUUUUCAGACCCCAGAAAUGUGUGCUUUCAAUGACAGGGUUUAUGCCACCUAUCAGGUGACACGAGGUCUAGCAAGUCUCAACAGUUGCGUGGAUCCCAUUCUCUAUUUCUUGGCAGGAGACACUUUCAGAAGGAGACUCUCCCGAGCCACCAGGAAAGCUUCCAGAAGAAGUGAGGCAAAUUUGCAGUCCAAGAGUGAAGACAUGACUCUCAAUAUUUUAUCCGAGCUCAAGCAGAAUGGAGAUACAAGCUUGUGAAGACGCAAGAAUCCCCAAACGCCCACUUUUGUAACAUGGUAGGAUGCUUAAUAGAGCCAAGUGCUUUUUUCCCCUUUAAGUUUCUAGUAAGAUUAGAGAAAAUUCAAACCAAGAAAGCAGUGAGUUAAAAAAAAAAAAAAAAAAGAAGUGGAAAUGCCUACACCCACACUUAGCUUGUUUGGGUCUGAUGCCCAGCCUGAUUUACAGUAUGUGUUAAGUACAUUGUUUCAGCUUCCAGAGAACUUUCUUUUGGUCCAGUGUGGAGGUGAACAGUGACUAGAAAUGCCCUUUUACUUCUUGGCAUGCUUUUUCCAGAGUGUUUCUUCUUUAGCUUCAUACAUCACGUGCUAGACAAUCAUGACAUGCAGAUGCCUGCCUAAUAGUGACAAGAAUGAUCUCUCCAACCCCUUCCAGGCACAAACUGGUCUCUGGGACGAGUCUGCUAAUGAUGAAAACAUACAGAGGGUCAAGAUAAAGCGGUGAUCUAUUGGCUGAAGAUCUGAUUCAUGAUAUAUGAUAAGAGUAGGUAUUUUAAGAGUAAAGGCAGAAAUCUACUGGCAUUUUGAUGAAAGAGUCAAAAUUACAGAACUUAUCAGUUAACUAAAUUUCACACUACAAAACUGAAUGCCAAGCUCAAGGCGUUCUAUGGCUCAUCAGUUGGCAUCUUUGACUCUUUGAACGUCAAUGUUUGCAAUUGUUUGCAAACAAUGUUUGCAAUGUUUGCACUUGUUUGCAUCAGUGUUUGCACUGAAAUGCUAAAAACACAGACCAAGAAGAGAUACAGCAUGAGAGUAGGAUUUGGAGUUAAAAUGGUGACACUGCCACUUGGCCAGCUGUGGAACUCUUGACCCUGGCAAGACCACUCUCCGUGGAUUAAAAGGGUUGGACUACAUCCGUCUGUUGGGGCCUUAGGGGAUGUGGUAAAGCCAGAGGUGCAUGAAGUCUGCUACUGUAUUUUCCAGGACUGUUCAAUUCCAGUCCUUGACUGAAAAUUCAUACAAAGUGCACCGACUGUGACAUGGACAUGACCUGUAGGUUUUCUCAGUCUCCUCAGGGCAGUGCACUACACUGCCUUUGGAUACAAGAGAGGUCAGUGCUGACAGCGCUGUAGCAGCUUGUAGCAGCUGGAAUUGGACUGGUGACAGUAAAGAUUUGUAAUUAGUUAGAGAUAUAGUGAAGCUUUAACUUUGCUGGUCAAGUUGUAACUAUCAUAAUAGUAUUUAUUGAUGAAGCUCACAGCCCUUCCAUUGUACAGAUUGAAGAUCUUUCUUGAAAGUUCCAACAUACUGAGGUAAAUUAUAUUUAUUACAAUGUAUAAUAUUAAUAUGUCACACUGGUGUAUUUUACAUAAUAUAUGAUGCAUAACAAAUGAGAGUUACUGUAUAUUAUGAUGCUUUCCAAAUAUCAGUAUCUUGAAAUGUUUAAGUCUUCAGAUUUCUUUUAUCUAAAAUACGAAAAUCUGUUUUGUGAUACAAGUGAUUCAUUUUCUCUACAAAUGCUUUUGCACGUUUAUCUUUUUAUUUAGGGUUCUUUCUACAUAGACACAGUUCGGUGUCAAUCGAUAGUAAAUACAAAAUAUCUUAGCCAGACUGGGUCUGUAUUGUCUACAUUUUAUAUACUAUUGUAGAAAAGUUUAUAUUGUCUUUUUAAUACAUCUGGAAUUGUGUGCCCAAAUACAGUCAGAGCUUCCCAUUUCCAAAUGCAAAAGGCUUGUCCUAAAUUCAAAGGAGAUCUCUUACGUUUUAGAAGUCUGGUGAGAUGGGCAUGACAGAUACAACAUUAGAGUUUGAGGAAAUACUUUAGGGAGAUGGGGAGAGAAAGAGGCAGCUGGUGUAAUCAGUUACUGUGCUCAAUUCCGCUUCAAUUUUUAUUUUGUGUCUCUUCUCAAGGUGAAAUAGUAUAAUCUUAAUUUCUUUGAGAUGGAGUUUCUAAGUAACACACUACCAGCAAGUUCAACACUGCUAGUAAUUUUAUUGUUUUCUUUGUUCAUUUGAUAACUUUAAUUCCAAGUUUUACAGUAAUAACUGUAUAUUAUUUGGCUGCUGAAUCCUGUUAUAGUUUUUUAGUUCUGUUGUACAUUGUAUUAUACACAUCAUUACAAAUUAAUAUGAAGGGGAAUAUAUGUUAUAUAUCAAAAAUUGUGAAUUUGAAUUCUAGUAUGUUUUAGUGCUUUUGCCAAAAUGUUUAUUUUUAUACUAUCUGUAAUUUUAAUAUAGAUAAUUGAACUAGAUUUCUUUGUGAUUAAUAGUGCCAUUGAAUGAGCAGUAUGGAAACAGUGUUACUUGACAUUUUGAGCUUUCUCAGGUUUAUCGAAAUCAAUGGUAGCUUAACAGAUUCCAGACUAAUUGUGCAUAAUUGUGUUUUAAAAGGAAUGUACAUUUCCUAUAAGUUUGCAUGCAGGAGUGUACAGCUUGGAAUGUGUGUGUGUGUGUGUGUGUGUGUGUGUGUCCAUGGCAUGGCAGCCAACUUCGUAUCUGCUGUUGGUAAUAACAGAAGAGCUUUGAUAUAAUCAUGGUCAUUAGAAUUGUACCUACCAUAGACAGUUAAAACUGAAAAAGUCUCAAUACAGC